rnacentral:rRNA from 1 species
CAGUAGCCGCGGGAAUACGAAGGGGGCUAGCGUUGCUCGGAAUGACUGGGCGUAAAGGGCGCGUAGGCGGAUGGCACAGUCAGAUGUGAAAUUCCCGGGCUUAACCUGGGGGCUGCAUUUGAUACGUGUUGCCUAGAGUGAGGAAGAGGGUCGUGGAAUUCCCAGUGUAGAGGUGAAAUUCGUAGAUAUUGGGAAGAACACCGGUGGCGAAGGCGGCGACCUGGUCCUUUACUGACGCUGAGGCGCGAAAGCGUGGGGAGCAAACAGGAUUAGAUACCCCUGUAGUCCCUGUCUCUUAUAC